AGAGUUUGAUCAUGGCUCAGAACGUACGCUGGCGGCACGCCUUAUACAUGCAAGUCGAACGGAGUAGCAAUACUCAGUGGCAGACGGGUGAGUAACAUGUAGGUAUCUUCCCUUUGGUGAGGAAUAACACGAGGAAACUUGUGCUAAUACCUCAUAAGUCUUUACGGAGAAAGCUUUAUGCGCCAUUGGAUGAGCCUGCACUUGAUUAGUUUGUUGGUGGGGUAAUGGCCUACCAAGACUUUGAUCAAUAGCUGAUUUGAGAGGAUGAUCAGCCACAUUGGGACUGAGACACGGCCCAAACUCCUACGGGAGGCAGCAGUAGGGAAUCUUGCACAAUGGAGGAAACUCUGAUGCAGCGAUGCCGCGUGAGUGAAGAAGGCCCUUGGGUUGUAAAGCUCUUUCGUCGGGGAACAAAAUGAGUGUACCCGAAUAAGAAGGUCCGGCUAACUUCGUGCCAGCAGCCGCGGUAAUACGAAGGGACCUAGCGUAGUUCGGAAUUACUGGGCUUAAAGAGUUCGUAGGUGGUUGAAAAAGUUGGUGGUGAAAUCCCAGAGCUUAACUCUGGAACUGCCAUCAAAACUUUUCAGCUAGAGUAUGAUAGAGGAAAGCAGAAUUUCUAGUGUAGAGGUGAAAUUCGUAGAUAUUAGAAAGAAUACCAAUUGCGAAGGCAGCUUUCUGGAUCAUUACUGACACUGAGGAACGAAAGCAUGGGUAGCGAAGAGGAUUAGAUACCCUCGUAGUCCAUGCCGUAAACGAUGUGUGUUAGACGUUGGAAAUUUAUUUUCAGUGUCGCAGCGAAAGCGAUAAACACACCGCCUGGGGAGUACGACCGCAAGGUUAAAACUCAAAUGAAUUGACGGGGACCCGCACAAGUAGUGGAGCAUGUGGUUUAAUUCGAAGAUACGCGCAGAACCUUACCAACACUUGACAUGUUCGUCGCGACUCUAAGAGAUUAGAGUUUUCGGUUCGGCCGGACGAAACACAGGUGCUGCAUGGCUGUCGUCAGCUCGUGUCGUGAGAUGUUGGGUUAAGUCCCGCAACGAGCGCAACCCUCACUUUUAGUUGCCAUCAUUUAGUUGGGCACUCUGAAAGAACUGCCAGUGAUAAGCUGGAGGAAGGUGGGGAUGACGUCAAGUCCUCAUGGCCCUUAUGUGUUGGGCUACACACGUGCUACAAUGGCACUUACAAUGGGAAGCAAAGAGGCGACUCCUAGCUAAUCCCAAAAAUGUGUCUCAGUUCGGAUUGUACUCUGUAACUCGAGUGCAUGAAGCUGGAAUUGCUAGUAAUCGCGGAUCAGCGCGCCGCGGUGAAUACGUUCCCGGGUCUUGUACACACCGCCCGUCACACCAUGGAAGUUGGUUACACCUUAAGGCAAAGCUUAUACCUUUGACUACGGUACGAUCAGCAACUGGGGUGAAGUCGUAACAAGGUA
rnacentral:rRNA from 1 species